GAUGAAGAACGCAGUGAAAUGCGAUAAGUAAUGUGAAUUGCAGAAUUCAGUGAAUCAUCGAAUCUUUGAACGCACAUUGCGCCCCUUGGUAUUCCGAGGGGCAUGCCUGUUCGAGCGUCAUUAUAACCCUUCAAGCUCAGCUUGGUGUUGGGGCCUGCUGUAACUGGUAGCCCUUAAAAUCAGUGGCAGUGCUAUUAGGCUCUAAGCGUAGUAAUUCUUCUCGCUAUAGUGUGUAGUGAGCGCUUGCCAGAACCCCAAACUUUUAUAUGAUUGACCUCGGAUCAGGUAGGGAUACCCGCUGAACUUAAGCAUAUCAAUAAGCGGAGGA
rnacentral:misc_RNA from 1 species